UUGAUGGAGAGUUUGAUCCUGGCUCAGGACGAACGCUGGCGGCGUGCUUAACACAUGCAAGUCGAACGGUGAACCAGGGCUUGCCCUGGGAAUCAGUGGCGAACGGGUGAGUAACACGUGGGCAACCUGCCCCAGACUCUGGGAUAACUCCGGGAAACCGGGGCUAAUACCGGAUACGACCUUUGAAGGCAUCUUCGAAGGUGGAAAGUUUUUCGGUCUGGGAUGGGCCCGCGGCCUAUCAGCUUGUUGGUGGGGUAAUGGCCCACCAAGGCGACGACGGGUAGCCGGCCUGAGAGGGCGACCGGCCACACUGGGACUGAGACACGGCCCA
rnacentral:rRNA from 1 species